UUACGGUCAAAUCACGCUGAAAACACCGGUUCUCGUUCGAUCACCGAAGCGUAGAGCCAGGUCAGUACUUAGAUGGGGACCGCUUGGGAACACCUGGUACUGUAAG